AGUGAACGCUGGCGGUAGGCCUAACACAUGCAAGUCGAACGAGUGGCCGACGGGUGAGGAAUACAUCGGAAUCUACUCUGUCGUGGGGGAUAACGUAGGGAAACUUACGCUAAUACCGCAUACGAUUGAAUGAGCCGAUGUCGGAUUAACUAGUUGGCGGGGUAAAGGCACACAAAGGCGACGAUCCGUACCUGGUCUGAGAGGAUGACCGGCCACACUGGAACUGAGACACGGUCCAGACUCCUACGGGAGGCAGCAGUGGGGAAUAUUGCACAAUGGGCGAAAGCCUGAUGCAGCCAUGCCGCGUGUAUGAAGAAGGCCUUCGGAUUGUAAAGUACUUUCAGCGGGGAGGCGUUACCCACAGAGGAAGCACCGGCUAACUCCGUGCCAGCAGCCGCGGUAAUUC
rnacentral:rRNA from 1 species